rnacentral:rRNA from 1 species
ACUGAUUCCGGGCCGUCGAUCCGGGUCAUCGGGAUGGUCCGGGGGUUAUCCGGAGUUAGUGGGUUUAAAGUGAGCGUGUGCCGUAGAUUAAUCGUGUUGUGAAAUGUAGACGCUCAACGUCUGCACUGCAGCGCGAACUGGUUUCCUUGAGUACGCACAAAGUGGGCGGAAUUCGUGGUGUAGCGGUGAAAUGCUUAGAUAUCACGAAGAACUCCGAUUGCGAAGGCAGCUCACUGGAGCGCAACUGACGCUGAAGCUCGAAAGUGCGGGUAUCGAACAGGAUUAGAUACCCUAGUAGUC